GAUUUUCCCGGUAAAAAUGAACGACGGAGAUGUAUCGAGGCAGAUCCAGCAGAUGGUGAGAUUUAUCCGCCAAGAAGCGGAAGAGAAAGCAAACGAGAUCUCGGUUUCUGCUGAAGAA
rnacentral:sRNA from 1 species